AGGAUGAACGCUGGCGGAAUGCCUAAUACAUGCAAGUCGAGCGGCAGCGCGAGUAGUUUACUACUUGGCGGCGAGCGGCGGACGGCUGAGUAACGCGUGGGAACGUGCCCCAAAGUGAGGAAUAACUGCCCGAAAGGGUAGCUAAUGCCGCAUAUGAUCUUCGGAUUAAAGGAUUUAUCCGCUUUGGGAGCGGCCCGCGUACGAUUAGAUAGUUGGUGAGGUAAAGGCUCACCAAGUCGACGAUCGUUAACUGAUCUGAGAGGAUGAUCAGUCAGACUGGAACUGAGACACGGUCCAGACUCCGUACGGGAGCAGCAGUAAGAUCUCACAAUGGA
rnacentral:rRNA from 1 species